GGGAUAUAGCUCAGUUGGUAGAGUUUCUUGUCUUACAAGCGGAUGUCAGCGGUUCGAGUCCGCUUAUCUCCAG
rnacentral:tRNA from 1 species